UUGGAGGGCAAGUCUGGUGCCAGCAGCCGCGGUAAUUCCAGCUCCAAUAGCGUAUAUUAAAGUUGUCGCAGUUAAAAAGCUCGUAGUUGAAUUUCGGGGUCAGUAGGUUGGUCAUGCCACUGGUAUGUACUGGUCUCACUGAUUCCUCCUUCCUGAUGAGCCGUAAUGCCAUUAAUUUGGUGUUGCGAGGAAUCUGGACUGUUACUUUGAAGAAAUUAGAGUGUUUAAAGCAAGCUAACGCUUGAAUACAUUAGCAUGGAAUAAUGAAAUAGGACGUUCGAUCCUAUUUUGUUGGUUUCUAGGAUUGACGUAAUGAUUAAUAGGGAUAGUUGGGGGCAUUAGUAUUCAAUUGUCAGAGGUGAAAUUCUUGGAUUUAUUGAAGACUAACUACUGCGAAAGCAUUUGCCAAGGAUGUUUUCAUUAAUCAAGAACGAAAGUUAGGGGAUCGAAGACGAUCAGAUACCGUCGUAGUCUUAACCAUAAACUAUGCCGACUAGGGAUCGGAUGAUGUUAAUUUUUUAAUGACUCAUUCGGCGCCUUACGGGAAACCAAAGUGUUUGGGUUC
rnacentral:rRNA from 1 species